CAAUAGCGUAUAUUAUAGUUGUUGCAGUUAAAAAGCUCGUAGUUGGACUUCUGAUGUGGGGAUUCGGUCCACCGCAAGGUGAGCACUGAUGUCCUUGCGUCUUCCUCUCGUAGUUGUUUGGCGCACUUAGUUGGGUGCCAGAUGAAUAUGGGACCUUUACUUUGAAAAAUUAGAGUGUUCAAAGCAGGCGAUCGCUUGAAUACAUUAGCAUGGAAUAAUAGAAUAGGACUUUGGUUCUAUUUUGUUGGUUUCUAGGACCGAAGUAAUGAUUAAUAGGGACAGUUGGGGGCGAUUUUAUUCCAUUGUCAGAGGUGAAAUUACUUGGAUUAACGGAAGAAAAACUAACUGCGAAAGCAUCUGCCAAGGAUGUUUCUAUUGAUCAAGAACGAAAGUUAGGGA
rnacentral:rRNA from 1 species